AAUACAUGCAAGUCGAACGCGUUGGCCCAAAUUGAUUGAUGGUGCUUGCACCUGAUUGAUUUUGGUCGCCAACGAGUGGCGGACGGGUGAGUAACACGUAGGUAACCUGCCCAGAAGCGGGGGACAACAUUUGGAAACAGAUGCUAAUACCGCAUAACAACGUUGUUCGCAUGAACAACGCUUAAAAGAUGGCUUCUCGCUAUCACUUCUGGAUGGACCUGCGGUGCAUUAGCUUGUUGGUGGGGUAAUGGCCUACCAAGGCGAUGAUGCAUAGCCGAGUUGAGAGACUGAUCGGCCACAAUGGGACUGAGACACGGCCCAUACUCCUACGGGAGGCAGCAGUAGGGAAUCUUCCACAAUGGGCGCAAGCCUGAUGGAGCAACACCGCGUGAGUGAAGAAGGGUUUCGGCUCGUAAAGCUCUGUUGUUAAAGAAGAACACGUAUGAGAGUAACUGUUCAUACGUUGACGGUAUUUAACCAGAAAGUCACGGCUAACUACGUGCCAGCAGCCGCGGUAAUACGUAGGUGGCAAGCGUUAUCCGGAUUUAUUGGGCGUAAAGAGAGUGCAGGCGGUUUUCUAAGUCUGAUGUGAAAGCCUUCGGCUUAACCGGAGAAGUGCAUCGGAAACUGGAUAACUUGAGUGCAGAAGAGGGUAGUGGAACUCCAUGUGUAGCGGUGGAAUGCGUAGAUAUAUGGAAGAACACCAGUGGCGAAGGCGGCUACCUGGUCUGCAAUUGA
rnacentral:rRNA from 2 species